rnacentral:rRNA from 1 species
AUACGGAGGGGGCUAGCGUUGUUCGGAAUUACUGGGCGUAAAGCGUACGUAGGCGGACUGAUCAGUUGGGGGUGAAAUCCCAGGGCUUAACCCUGGAACUGCCUUCAAUACUGUCAGUCUUGAGUUUGGGAGAGGUGAGUGGAAUUCCUGGUGUAGAGGUGAAAUUCAUAGAUAUUAGGAGGAACACCAGUGGCGAAGGCGGCUCACUGGCCCAUUACUGACGCUGAGGUACGAAAGCGUGGGGAGCAAACAGGAUUAGAAACCCUAGUAGUCC